AUGAUCAGGAACAGAGUUCAAUGCUUCAUUAUGUUUCUCUUCUGGAAGGGGCAACUUAGACCCACUAACAAAUUGUGUUGGACCAUUCAAUAAAUCUUCAUGUUUUUUCAAAAGCUCCUUUUCAGAGGCAGCUGGAUCCCAAUCUAAUUCAUGCUCUUCAGCAAUUUCCUUCAGAAGUUUCAAUUUUACUUCAGGUGAAGGAGCACGAACAGAUAAGAGUUCUAUCAACUGUCGAUUGACACCACAUUCUGGCAUAAGCUCAGUUGCAGCAGCUAUAAAUUCCUUUCCAUAUUUGAAAGCAAAUAGCAUUUGAACCUGCAACAACUCUGGCAGAUCUGCGCAUCUUGGUGCAGCAAAAC
rnacentral:misc_RNA from 1 species